GGGACAGUGGCUUGGUGUCACAGGACAGUGUCUAGGUGUCACAGGACAGUCAUCGGUGUCACGGGACAGUGUCUGGGUGUCACAGGACAGUCAUAGAUGUCACGGGACAGUAUCUGGGUGUCACAGGACAGUCAUAGGUGUCACGGGACAGUGUCUGGGUGUUACAGGACAGUCAUGGGUGUCACGGGACAG